CUUCCAGUAGUACCUUAGAGACCAACUAAAUUUGUUGUUGGUAUGAGCUUUCAUGUGUCUCUGAAGAAGUGUGCAUGCACAUGAAAGCUCACACAAACAACAAACUUAGUUGGUCUCUAAGAUGCUACUGGAAG